UCUCUUCUUCUCUCGUCUUCAUCGAUCGAUCAUCAUUAUGGAUUUUUGCAGUAAAUCUGCUUGGGACUCCAGCUCUCCCUUCGACUGCCUCCUUUUCGACCUUGAUGAUAGUUUUACUCUUCAAAAAUUGGAAUUGGUGGAGCAUGCAAGAGAAACAUUGAAGGAUUUCUUGUGGAAAAAUGUGGAUUUGCAGAGGAUAAAGCGUCAAAUCUUCGAGUUGAGCUUUUUAAAACCUACGGAAGCACUCUUGCUGGCCUAAAAUCU